rnacentral:rRNA from 1 species
UACGAAGGGGGCUAGCGUUGCUCGGAUUGACUGGGCGUAAAGGGCGCGUAGGCGGUUUGUACAGUCAGACGUGAAAUUCCUGGGCUCAACCUGGGGGCUGCGUUUGAUACGUGCAGACUUGAGUUCGGAAGAGGGUCGUGGAAUUCCCAGUGUAGAGGUGAAAUUCGUAGAUAUUGGGAAGAACACCGGUGGCGAAGGCGGCGACCUGGUCCGAUACUGACGCUGAGGCGCGAAAGCGUGGGGAGCAAACAGG